ACGGGUGAGUAAUACUUAGGAAUCUGCCUAUUAAUGGGGGACAACAUCUCGAAAGGGAUGCUAAUACCGCAUACGCCCUACGGGGGAAAGCAGGGGAUCACUUGUGACCUUGCGUUAAUAGAUGAGCCUAAGUCGGAUUAGCUAGUUGGUGGGGUAAAGGCCUACCAAGGCGACGAUCUGUAGCGGGUCUGAGAGGAUGAUCCGCCACACUGGGACUGAGACACGGCCCAGACUCCUACGGGAGGCAGCAGUGGGGAAUAUUGGACAAUGGGGGGAACCCUGAUCCAGCCAUGCCGCGUGUGUGAAGAAGGCCUUAUGGUUGUAAAGCACUUUAAGCGAGGAGGAGGCUCUUCUAGUUAAUACCUAGGAUGAGUGGACGUUACUCGCAGAAUAAGCACCGGCUAACUCUGUGCCAGCAGCCGCGGUAAUACAGAGGGUGCGAGCGUUAAUCGGAUUUACUGGGCGUAAAGCGUGCGUAGGCGGCUUUUUAAGUCGGAUGUGAAAUCCCCGAGCUUAACUUGGGAAUUGCAUUCGAUACUGGGAAGCUAGAGUAUGGGAGAGGAUGGUAGAAUUCCAGGUGUAGCGG
rnacentral:rRNA from 1 species